GUGACGAAGCGACGCCGCGUGCGGGAAGAAGGCCUUCGGGUUGUAAACCGCUGUCGGGAGUUAAGAAAUGUAAGGAUGUUAAUAGCGUCUUUACUUGACUAAGGCUCCGGAGGAAGCCACGGCUAACUCUGUGCCAGCAGCCGCGGUAAUACAGAGGCGGCAAGCGUUGUUCGGAAUUAUUGGGCGUAAAGAGCACGUAGGCGGCUAUGUAAGUCGGUUGUGAAAGCCUUCCGCUCAACGGGAGAACAGCAUCCGAUACUGCAUGGCUUGAGUGCGGGAGGGGAGAGUGGAACUUCUGGUGGAGCGGUGAAAUGCGUAGAUAUCAGAAGGAACGCCGGCGGCGAAAGCGGCUCUCUGGCCCAUAACUGACGCUGAGUGUGCAAAAGCUAGGGGAGCAAACGGGAUUAGACACCCCGGUAGUCCUAGCCGUAAACGAU
rnacentral:rRNA from 1 species